GCUGGUUUAGGCUCCAAAAUUUGUCUAGAUCAGCAGCUGUACUUCAAAGCAGCACAUCUCAGUACAGCAUUAGACUUUGAAGUGCUUGUGGUCCAGAUGCCAGCGCUUUUAAAGGAGCCGAUGAAUCAACUGCACUUUGUUUUUUGUCUGCUGAAACAGCUAUGCUUUUUCUCAUAUACUAUAGUAAUGUGUGUGGUCUUCUGUAUGGUAUCUAUCAAUAAAAACAUAAUGCUAACACAAAAGCUCUUUAUUGCUACAUUUUCUAAAAAGGAACAGAUCAUCACCAUUUUAUUACACUGAUUUGCAGUGAUCUCAGCCAAUUUCCAGUGCAAACUAUUCAGACAAGACUCAAGGAAGGAUAUUUUGUUGAUUAUAGAACUAACCAUGUUUCUUUUUUUUUUUAAAUUGUAUUAUCAUUAUCGUGAGAUGCAAUUGUCCUAAAAAGAACAAGGAUGAAAAUGGUUUUGUUCUAGAAGAUGAGGAAAAAGCAGUGUUGGGCAUGCUGAGUUCCCAUGCAAGUUACAAGCAAGUCUGUCAUUAGCCUGAAAGGUCAGUUUUUGCAUGGAAAGAGGUUUAUGAGGUGCUGAAUUCCUCCAUACACAAUUGACCUGAUUGGACAACACUUAUGAGUUUCAGGGAAGCAGGCUGGGAUAACUACAAGGCAACUCUCAAUUGUCUUUGAAAGUUGUUCAUGAUUUGGGGAGAUUCCUGGGGACUGGAAGAGAGCAGACAUCACUCCUAUCUUCAAGAAUGCAACACUGAAAGCUCAACAUUCAAGCUGCAAUUGCUAAUCCUGACACAGGCUCUGCAAGUACUUUGAAAAGAAGCAUGAAAGAAAGCACUUUAAAAAAAAAGUUGGUUGAAGAAUAUCCAUGAUGG
rnacentral:lncRNA from 1 species